AUGAGAUGGGAGGUGAGGCAGGGGAGCUGGGAUGGGCGACGGCCAGUGAUGGUGGUGGUGGUUGGUGAUGGUGGUGACGGUGGCGCUUGGCCGGCUCCUCUCCCGUUUCUCCAUCACUGCCCGUUCUCUCUGCCUCCUCCGUCCCCGCGUGGCCUCUGCCCAGAGAAACAGGAUUUGCACCCAAGCCGCACGUGUGUGGGCGCCAGGCUGCGGCGCCCCGCGAGCCCGCACCCCCUACCCCGGCCCCGCGGCCCGGCGGGCCCCGCGCCCCUCUCUGCGCCCCGAGCCCUCCUCGGCUGUGGCCCCGACCCGCUUCCCUCGCGCCCCCUCGCGCCCCCGCGCCCCGGCACCGCCCGAGCAUCCCGGGAGGCGAGCGGCGGGAGGAUCUGGCCGGCCCCGCCCCCUCUGCAGGGAACGCCCGCGACCCCCGGCCCGCUCCCCGCCGAGCCCCCGCGGCCCGGCCACCGGUCACUUACGGCUGCGCUGGGCCCCGCGCGCCCGGCGGUCCGAGACAAAGGCUGCGCGGUCGCGGCGCCGCCGGCUGCUCCCCGAGCCGCAGCUGCCGGGGCCCGGGAGGAGGGUGGGGGACAGGGAGGAGGGAUAGGAGGAGGAGGACGAAGGGAGGAGGGGGCGGCGGCCAGGGAGAGCGGGGGAGGGGCCGCCGCCGCGCCGGCCACCCAGCUGCAGCGGGCCGAACCCAAGCCCUCCUCCGCGGCCAGCCACCCUCCUGGGCUCAGUCCCUCCGCGGUCCUCCGCCCCAAAACCUCCCCCGCGAGAACAGGGUACCGCCCCCCCGGGGGGCGGGGUGAGAGGAAGAGGAAGGGAAGAAGGAAGGAGGUGUGUGUGUGCGUGCGUGUGUUCCUUCUUAAUCGUGAUGCUCACCACCCACGCCCGCGGCCGCGAGCAAUCUUAGGAAAAUGCUCGACUCCCGGCUUCACCUGGCCCUCCCUGGGAAGCACCCUCACCUUCCUCCUUCCACGCGCCCGCACACCUCCCCUCCAGAUGGUCCAACCAUUUUAUGAGCAGCAAAACUGA
rnacentral:lncRNA from 1 species